rnacentral:rRNA from 1 species
UACAGAGGGGGCAAGCGUUGUUCGGAAUUACUGGGCGUAAAGCGCACGUAGGCGGAUUGUUAAGUCGGGGGUGAAAUCCUGGAGCUCAACUCCAGAACUGCCUUCGAUACUGGCGAUCUCGAGUUCGGGAGAGGUGAGUGGAACUGCGAGUGUAGAGGUGAAAUUCGUAGAUAUUCGCAAGAACACCAGUGGCGAAGGCGGCUCACUGGCCCGAUACUGACGCUGAGGUGCGAAAGCGUGGGAGCAACAGGGAUUAAGAAACCCCAGU